ACGGGUGAGUAAUGUCUGGGGAUCUGCCUGAUGGAGGGGGAUAACUACUGGAAACGGUAGCUAAAACCGCAUGACGUCGCAAGACCAAAGUGGGGGACCUUCGGGCCUCACGCCAUCGGAUGAACCCAGAUGGGAUUAGCUGGUAGGUGGGGUAACGGCUCACCUAGGCGACGAUCCCUAGCUGGUCUGAGAGGAUGACCAGCCACACUGGAACUGAGACACGGUCCAGACUCCUACGGGAGGCAGCAGUGGGGAAUAUUGCACAAUGGGGGAAACCCUGAUGCAGCCAUGCCGCGUGUGUGAAGAAGGCCUUCGGGUUGU
rnacentral:rRNA from 1 species